ACUGUUAAAAAUGGGUAGUUACAAUAGCACCCAAAGUGCUAUGCCAACACUCACCUAAUGGUGCUAUCACAACACUAAGAGUGCAGUCGUAACUGCUACGUGUUACUAGAACAAUAAAGGGUGCUAUUAUACACUUAUAAGUGCUUGUGGAACACUUUAAACAGUGUUGUGCAUGCACUUACCUAGUUGUUAAAAUCAUAUUACUCUAACUAUACACCAGAUGGUGUUACUCAAAUAAGAAUUGUGUAAUUGUAGCACUAUACAUGGUGCAAUGUAAACACCUCUAUAAAUCACCUGCAUUCAAAUCAAGGCCAGUCUAUAAUGAUUCAUGUAGUUGCAUGUGUAAAUAAAUAGUUGCUUAUAUACAAACCCGUUCCAUUAAAUAGUUGAAUCUGGUAUAAUUAUUAUACCUUUGUAUUCAAGCAUGCAGGAGCAGAUUAUAAUUAUAGUCACCUUAUUUAUUAUACUUAUUAUAAAUUCUAAUCACAUGCGUAAUUAUGUAUACAGGGGUGAAGCAGCACACUUGUACUGAUGACGGAACAAUCGGCCCUGUGAGGAACUUUCCAAGAAAAAAUUAUUGCACUUUUCAAGUGUAUACCGGCAAUAUUUUAGCUAUUCAGUAUAUAACUUAUGUGAUGAACCAGUUAUCAUUAUUAGUUACUGUAACUAUGUGUUUGAAGUUGCAACAUCUAUUGAGGACUAGACUAUGUGCAUGUCACGCUAACGGACAAAUUAAUGCCCAACAAUAAUUAUUAACAAUUCAAUCGUCUGAAAAAUCAUACAUCCUGUAUUUAGCAAAGUAGCUGGCUUAUAGUGUGUUCUUUCUACUCGUACAGUUGCCCUGCAAAUUUAACUCUUACUUUGCUCCCACCCUUCCCCUCUUCUAUGCAAGGGCAUACACUGAUGGUAUGAUCAUAACUAAUUGAUGAGCACAGACUCAAAUGCGUGGUGGGUAGCCAAGACUACAUAAACAAAACAAAAUCGUGGGUGGUAGAUCUAAUACAUGCAGCACUGAUCUCACGUGAACCUUGUGAAGACAGCUGCCUGCAUGAGAGUCUUCUCUGCACAAGUACACAGCUGCGUGCACCUUAACUGUAUGAAGGCGCCGGGCCUACUCUAGCUCUGUACUGUGCUCUGGUACUACAUGGACUAAGUUGCUAGAUGUACUGCACUGCAAGAUGGCACACUGCUUUGACUCGGAACUAUAGAGGUUCAUGGAGUCGAGCUAUUUAAACAAGGUUAAAGAAUGCGUCGCAAAUUGAGAUUCAACAUCUGUCCAAAGAUAAACCACUGCUCUUUAAAAGGAAUAGUCCAAAAACAAAGCGUAACAAAGGUGCUAUCAGGAGUGUUAUGAUCGACCAGCAGUUACAGAUGUGCGUAUAUACUUACCUUCUAUCCACCACUGAUCGAUUAUGUCUAUGAAAAGAUACCUAUAGAUUUACUUUUGAGGAAAAUUGGAAAGAAUUCGAACAAAGGAGAACAAUGUUAAGCUACAGGAGCUGGUCGAAGACUAUGCAAUGCAGUCACUGGUGCAGUCACAAUCUAAUGGUAAAUAGAAACCCAUAUCUUCAAACAUACAUUUUUUUUUAUUCAGUUCUGAAGAUGAUACUGUAAGAAGAAGGAUGCAGUACAAAUGAUAUUUGUCAAGCUGCUGCUCCACGUGGAUGACAUGCAACGUUCGUUCAAGGUAGAAAAAGUGCUAUUGAAUCUGGAUCAAUGAACUACUUCGUCAUCGUAGAGAAAGAAGUGUAUGAAGUAGAUUCAUUCUAUGAAACUCUUGUACUAUGUUUUUGACAUUUUAGUACCCACGUGCAUGUCUGCAUGGCACCCUUUUAUUUUUUAUUUUUAAGGUCCCGAACUGCCUAAGUGUAUUGUGGUCGUAGUUAUUAAACACUUUAUGAGGUUAGGUAUACAUAUCUUCAUACUUUUAUUGUAUGCUAUCGUGAUGCAUAUCAUUAUACACAUGCUAUAAUUAUGUUACGUCAUUUAAGUCAAGUGCAUGAGCUUAUCGAGAAGUGCAAUAAGCAUGCAUGCAAUAUUUUAUGCUUUGCAUGAAGAGUAGCAAUGACAACUGUACCUGUAGUAACAGCAGCACCCAUCCCCAGUGCUUUAAUAACACCAUUGUAGGUGUAGUUGUAA